AAUUGCAUCGACGAGCUCCAUUUAAGUGUAGCGAGACAGUAGGAUUAUUAAUAAAAUGUGUAAUAAAUAGAAUAAUCUGGCUUCUUAAUAGCGAUUUACUUACUACUUUACGUUACUUGUGGCGGGACAUUAGUUCCGCUUACGUAACGAUGUAUUGUACUGUUGUGUUAAGUGGUGGUUGGUUUUAUUUUACGGUGGUGAUGCUGCUGAUGAUGAUCCAUCAAUCAAUCAGUGAAUCUAAUCGAGAGACAAGGAGAAUUUAUGGAUGAUGGUUUUCUGCCCUUUGGGGACUUAUUAAGGCACGUUUUUCUAUUCACUCAAGUGAAGAUAGUGAGACUCUGGAGGAUUUCGUGUGAAGGGAAAAAUGGUCAAAAUAUUUGGGCAAGUUUUUCCCAGGACGAGGAUGGAUGCAUAUUUACGAACGGGAUUUGUAAAUAUGUCCCUGCUGUAUUUUUACGUGAUGGAUUAAGACGAAGUAUUAAUGUAUGUAUUUUAGCUGGUAUGGGGCAGUGUUAGAAAUUUAUGAAAUUUUGAAAUAAAUUAUGAAAUGAGA